rnacentral:rRNA from 1 species
GAUGAACGCUGGCGGCGUGCUUAACACAUGCAAGUCGAACGGUGAAGGAGAGCUUGCUCUCCGGAUCAGUGGCGAACGGGUGAGUAACACGUGAGGAAUCUGCCCCUGACUCUGGGAUAAGCGCUGGAAACGGCGUCUAAUACCGGAUACGAGCUGCGAAGGCAUCUUCAGCAGCUGGAAAGAACUUCGGUCAGGGAUGAGCUCGCGGCCUAUCAGCUAGUUGGUGAGGUAAUGGCUCACCAAGGCGUCGACGGGUAGCCGGCCUGAGAGGGUAACCGGCCACACUGGUACUGAGACCCGGCCCAGACUCCUACGGGAGGCAGCAGUGGGGAAUAUUGCACAAUGGGCGCAAGCCUGAUGCAGCAACGCCGCGUGAGGGACGACGGCCUUCGGGUUGUAAACCUCUUUUAGCAGGGAAGAAGCGAAAGUGACGGUACCUGCAGAAAAAGCACCGGCUAACUACGUGCCAGCAGCCGCAGUAA